rnacentral:rRNA from 1 species
UACGAAGGGGGCUAGCGUUGUUCGGAAUCACUGGGCGUAAAGCGCACGUAGGCGGAUGUGCCAGUCAGGGGUGAAAUCCCGGAGCUCAACUUCGGAACUGCCUCUGAUACAGCACGUCUUGAGUCCGGAAGAGGUGGGUGGAAUUCCUAGUGUAGAGGUGAAAUUCGUAGAUAUUAGGAAGAACACCGGUGGCGAAGGCGACCCACUGGUCCGGUACUGACGCUGAGGUGCGAAAGCGUGGGGAGCAAACAGG